rnacentral:rRNA from 1 species
AAUUAACGCUGGCGGCGUGCCUAAGACAUGCAAGUCGAACGAGAAAGUUUCCUUCGGGGAAUUAUUACAGUGGCGCACGGGUGAGUAAGACCUAGGUAACGUACCUUUUCGCUGGGGAUAACUAAGGGAAACUUUAGCUAAUACCGAAUGACCCUCCUCUUUCUUCGGAUCGAGUAGGGAAAGCCUUCGGGCGCGAAGAGAGCGGCCUGGGUCCCAUUAGCUUGUUGGUGGGGUAAAAGCCUACCAAGGCGACGAUGGGUAGCUGGUCUGAGAGGAUGAUCAGCCACACUGGUACUGGAACACGGACCAGACUCCUACGGGAGGCAGCAGUUAGGAAUCUUGCGCAAUGGGGGAAACCCUGACGCAGCAACGCCGCGUGAGUGAGGAAGGCCUUCGGGUUGUAAAGCUCUUUCAGUAGGGAAGAUUGUGACGGUACCUACAGAAGAAGCACCGGCUAACUCCG